AGCAAAACCUACAAUUCUCCAUGGCUGUACUUCCUCCCUUUUUCUCUCCCUGGAGGCUGCCCACAGCUCUGACAAGAUGCCACAAGUUAUUGCCUCCUCCCAGCACCCUGGAUGGAACCAUAAGCUGUUGUACUGUCAAACGUGCUUUUUGCUCAUGAUGGGAUAAUUUCAGGAAGCCUACAGCUACAUUCCUUCCUGCUUGCACUGACUCUCCGCUCUGAACAGCAGGACAUCUAUCCACACUAAUAUAAGAAAAACAAGAACAAGUUUUCACUGCAAGAGUCUCCUCUCCUAAUUCAUUCAGACUUUCUGGAAGAAGGUAAAGAACAAUCCUGACCAGGACUGUUUUUC